rnacentral:rRNA from 1 species
UCGAGGAUCAUUCGCAAUGGGCGAAAGCCUGACGAUGCGACGCUGCGUGGAGGAUGACGGCCUUCGGGUUGUAAACUCCUGUCAUGAGGGAAAAACGAACCCGCGACAACAUCAAGGGAACGGGAUGGUACCUCAAGAGGAAGCCACGGCUAACUCUGUGCCAGCAGCCGCGGUAAUACAGAGGUGGCGAGCGUUGUUCGGAUUUACUGGGCGUAAAGGGCGCGUAGGCGGCGCGGUGUGUCGGGUGUGAAAUCCAUGGGCCCAACCCAUGAAGUGCGCCCGAAACUGCCGCGCUGGAGUGCGGGAGGGGAGGUCGGAAUGCAGGGUGUAGCGGUGAAAUGCGUUGAUAUCCUGCAGAACACCGGUGGCGAAGGCGGACCUCUGGAACGCAACUGACGCUGAGGCGCGAAAGUCGGGGGAGCAAACA